rnacentral:rRNA from 1 species
UACGUAGGGUGCUAGCGUUGUCCGGAUUUAUUGGGCGUAAAGCGCGCGCAGGCGGUCGCGUAAGUCUGCUGUGAAAUCUCCCUGGCUCAACCGGGAGGGGGCGGCGGAGACUGCGGGACUGGAGGGACCUAGAGGCCGGUGGAAUUCCCGGUGUAGUGGUGAAAUGCGUAGAUAUCGUCUGGAACGCCAAUGGUGAAAACAACUUGCUGGGGGUGUGCUGACGCUGAGACACGAAAGCCAGGGGAGCAAACGGG